rnacentral:lncRNA from 1 species
UUGACAAUCUCUCUCACCUUUGUAUCUCAAUCAACCGCUAACUACUUCUACUCUUCUCCUCCACCUCCGGUUAAACACUACCAAUACAAAUCUCCACCUCCUCCUGUUAAGCAUUACUCUCCCCCUCCAGUUUACCAUUCUCCACCACCACCUAAAAAACACUACGAAUACAAAUCCCCUCCUCCUCCGGUCAAGCAUUAUUCUCCACCACCGGUUUAUCACUCUCCACCACCACCAAAAAAGCACUACGAGUACAAAUCCCCUCCUCCUCCGGUUAAGCACUACUCUCCACCACCGGUUUACCAUUCUCCACCACCACCAAAGAAGCACUAUGUGUACAAAUCCCCUCCUCCUCCGGUUAAACACUAUUCUCCUCCUCCUGUUUACCAUUCUCCACCACCACCCAAGAAGCACUAUGUGUACAAAUCUCCACCCCCACCUGUUAUGCACUACUCUCCCCCACCAGUCUACCAUUCACCACCACCACCCAAAAAACAUUACGUAUACAAAUCUCCUCCUCCUCCGGUUAAACACUACUCACCACCUCCAGUUUACCAUUCCCCACCCCCACCUAAAAAGCAUUAUGUCUACAAAUCUCCUCCACCACCGGUUAAACACUACUCUCCUCCCCCGGUUUACCACUCUCCACCACCACCAAAGAAACACUACGUGUACAAAUCACCUCCUCCUCCAGUUAAGCACUAUUCUCCACCUCCAGUUUACCACUCUCCACCACCACCAAAGAAACACUACGUGUACAAAUCCCCUCCUCCCCCGGUUAAGCACUACUCCCCUCCUCCAGUUUACCAUUCCCCACCCCCACCAAAGAAACACUACGUCUACAAAUCUCCUCCUCCUCCAGUGAAACACUACUCUCCCCCUCCGGUUUACCAUUCCCCACCACCACCAAAGAAACAUUACGUGUACAAAUCCCCUCCUCCUCCAGUUAAACACUAUUCCCCACCACCGGUUUACCAUUCUCCACCACCACCAAAGAAGCACUACGUCUACAAAUCCCCUCCUCCUCCGGUUAAGCACUACUCUCCUCCUCCGGUUUAUCAUUCCCCACCACCACCUAAGAAAAAGUACGUAUAUAAGUCACCUCCUCCUCCAGUCCACCACUACUCUCCCCCACACCAUCCUUACCUCUACAAAUCUCCUCCUCCUCCAUACCACUAUUAGAAUUCUCUGUCACGGUA